GAUGAACGCUGGCGGCGUGCCUAAUACAUGCAAGUCGAGCGAACGGACGAGAAGCUUGCUUCUCUGAUGUUAGCGGCGGACGGGUGAGUAACACGUGGAUAACCUACCUAUAAGACUGGGAUAACUUCGGGAAACCGGAGCUAAUACCGGAUAAUAUUUUGAACCGCAUGGUUCAAAAGUGAAAGACGGUCUUGCUGUCACUUAUAGAUGGAUCCGCGCUGCAUUAGCUAGUUGGUAAGGUAACGGCUUACCAAGGCAACGAUGCAUAGCCGACCUGUGAGAGUGAUAGGCCACACUGGAACUGGGGCACGGUCAAGACUACUACGGGAGGCAGCAGUAGGGAAUCUUCCGCAAUGGGCGGAAGCCUGACGGAGCAACGCCGCGUGAGUGAUGAAAGUCUUCGGAUCGUAAAACUCUGUUAUUAGGGAAAAACAUAUGUGUAAGUAACUGUGCACAUCUUGACGGUACCUAAUCAGAAAGCCACGGCUAACUACGUG
rnacentral:rRNA from 1 species